GGAACUCAGAAGCAGCACAGCCUUAGCAGAACAGGCCGACCCCGUGGCCUACCUGAGUCUGCAAAAAGAAAGCUCAGAUCUCCUCCUGGCCGCUGUGAGAGGUCAGGAGCUGCCCUCAAAGACCAGCUUACAGCGCCCAGCCACACCCGGAGGACGUUCUGACGGGCCCAGUGCUGGACAUUCUGCCCAGAAGAGGGGAACAAAGCUCAUCCAAGGGACUUGGGCUGCUGAAAUGUCCCUGAUGUCAGAGGACUUAGAAGGCUCGGAGGACAGAGAAGCAUUCGGGUCAGACUCAUCUGUGUCCAGACUCUGUGGACAGUGGAGGUCUUUGGGGCUGAUGGUGGGCUGCAGGCCUGGCCUCCUCUUGUGGGGAAGGACCAGGUGUGGCUCUUGUGCCAGGGGUGCCAACAGAUGUUCUUUAGGUCAGGGGCUUUCCAGUCUGCGACUGGAGGUGACAGGGGACCCACCUAGAUGGUGGGAGUAAGAUGGUUGGGAUACCCCAAAAUGACAGCAGCAACCAGCUCAGCGCCUCUGCGCUCACAUUCCCAGCCCCAGGUCGCCCCUGGGGGAAAGCAGCCUGGAGAGCAGCUGGUGAGCAAAUGCUCCUCCCAGUGGGUGACAACUGAGCAGGGCUGCCUGGACGACUGUCCAAAGCAGAGGCUCCAAGUCCUGAGGUGAAAAAGGAAAGAAACAAAUCACUGUUUCCGGUCAUGGCCAGUUUGUUAGAAUCACCUGUGCUAGGAAAAAAUCUAGAUUUUAAAAAGUUCCUAAAAGUGACAUUAAUUACAAGAUGAGAAGUAGAAGAAACCAAGAACCCGGGGGCAAGCCAGGCAGAAGCUGCUUCUUCCCCGAGGGCGGCCCUGGUCUUACAAAGGCAGCUGCUCCUGGGACACUGGGCCAGCCCUCCAGGGGCAGAAACGCCCCCGCUGACAUGGAUGGCUCCUGAGCCCUCCUGUCCACAGAUACAGGAGCCGUGUUGUCCACUGGGCUCCUCUUAGGGGCUCUGGAUCCCCCACCAUGUGCACGUGCACACACAUACACUCACACACACACACACUCACACACACACUCACACAGUUAAGAGGAGUGAACAUAAAGUUACCACUCACCAUUUUCUGAUGGGAAUUAAGAAGACCUGGGGUGAGAAAUAUUGCUCACAAUGGCCCCUGGCUUGUCACCAAUGUCGGACACUCUACCACCGGAGGGAAGCAGGACUAGGGGAGGGGUCUUGGCAGCAGGUGACCCAUCACACAGAUUUUGUUGUGGUUUGGGUGUGAGGUGUCCCCCAAAAGCUCCUGAGUGACUCAGUGCAAGAAGGCUUGGAGGAGAAACGACGGGGGCCACAGCCUUAACCGUAUCCGUGGAUCCGUCCCUGAUGGGAUUAAUGAGUGGUGCCUGGAGGGGGGGUGUGGCUGGAGGAGGUGGGAACUGGGGCGUGGCUUUGGGGUCUACAUUUUGUAUCUGGAGAGUGGAGUCUCUCUCUGCUUCCCUCCACCCCACUCUUCCCCCGUGAUGUCCAGCCUCACCUGGAUCCCGAGGAACGGAGCCAGCUGUCCAUGGACAGAGACCUCUGCGACUGUGAGCCCCCAAAUGAACUUUCCCUCCUCUAAAAUUGUUCUGGUCAUAACAGGCUGGUUAAAACAGAUUCUGACAAGAGAACAGGCAUCACCGUGGGAGGGGCAGGAAUCCUGGGGCCCAUGGCAAAAGGGCGGGACUGGGACAGAGGUCCCUUCCGAAAAAGGCAGAACUUGGGAGAGCACCCGGUGUCCUCUUUGACUUGCUGAAAUUCAGCCGUUUCCUGCAGCAUUUUGCUUUCUGUUCCCUGAAUCUCUUCCUUACAGGCAAAGAGGGAGAGUACCACAGAGGCCACGGCCACGUCUGAUCUGAGGCCACCACAUGGCAAAGCCUUGUGACCCUUGGAACUAGCCGAGGGCUGAGUGGAGACACUGGGCUCCCGAUUCCAGGCCCUGGGGCUUCCUCAGGCAAAGACCUUGCUGUUAGUGUUUCUGUGUCACAAACAACCUGCAUUGAGGCUUCGGUGAUACUCGAGACACACUUCAGCCUGCUCUUGUGAAAAGCCCUCUUCACCAUGGCUGAUUUUAAGACUGUCAGCAGAAGAGUCUCUGCAAAAGAGUCCAAAGUAGAUAAACUUCCUAUUUUCGUGUUGCCCUGUUUUCUUGGCCACUGGCCGAGAAGAUACCAGCACUCCAGGUGCUGGACACCCCCUUACUAGUUUUUCACAAACGUAUCCAGUAUAGUAGUUUGUAGAAAUGUGCAAACAAGGCCUCUGGCCUUGAGCUGGGCUUCACAGAGAUGUCUCUAUUUUUAAGAUAAGUUACAAAUGGGCCCAUGGUAACAGCUGGCAGGGGGAGGAAAGGAAGGGGAGAAGAAGCUCCCCCCUUCUCAGGUGUUGUCCUUGAAGGGUUACCUUACCCAGAACAGUGAGAGAAAAAGCUGCUUUUAUGUGAACUUCUGCAGACUGUGAACUUCUGAGCCCCCCCCCCCUUACAUGCUGGGUAUAAAACUCUGAAACUCCCUGAACUCGGGAUUCGGGGGAUUGAUUGAUUACAGCAAAAGCUGUGCCCUCUGAACCUGGCUGCAGCCAAAUAAAAUUGUU